GGACUACCCGGGUUUCUAAUCCUGUUUGCUCCCCUUGCUUUCGGGCCUUAGCGUCAGGAAUAAGCUAGAAAACCGCCUUCGCCACCGGUGUUCUUCCACAUAUCUACGCAUUUCACCGCUACAUGUGGAAUUCCGUUUUCUCCGCCUACCCUCUAGAUAUGCAGUCUCAAAUGCCAUUCCGGGGUUGAGCCCCGGGCUUUCACAUCUGACUUACAUUUCCGCCUACGCCCUCUUUACGCCCAAUAAAUCCGAUUAAUGCUUGCACCCUCCGUAUUACCGCGGCUGCUGGCAC
rnacentral:rRNA from 1 species